rnacentral:snRNA from 1 species
UUCAAAACCGUAGAGUUCUAUAUAAAUUCUAAAUAUUCAGAGAUGACUAUCAAGACUCAUGCAUAAGCAUCGAAUACUUAAAAUAAAGAUGAAGGAUUGACUC